UACAGAGGUCUCAAGCGUUGUUCGGAUUCAUUGGGCGUAAAGGGUGCGUAGGGUGGCGGGGUAAGUCAGGUGUGAAAGUCUCGGGCCUCAACCCCGAAACUGCACUUGUACUGCCUUGCUCGGAGUGACUGGAGAGGAGAAUGGAAUUCCCGGUGUAGCGGAUGAAAUGCGCAGAUAUCAAGGAGGACACCGGUGGCGAAGGCGGGUCUCUGGGCCGUAACUGACGCUGAGGAGCGAAAGCUAGGGGAGCAAACGGG
rnacentral:rRNA from 1 species